GUUACCUGUUUCUAUGUCGUGGCUGUGAUGAUUGCCAUGUAUGGAAGCACCAAAGCCCUUCAACAUUAGACUGAACUUUGAUCCAUACAGUUCGGCAACCUUUGGAAGGCUUGUUCUGCAAGCAUCCAUUUUGCAUCUGUAUGCGUAGUUCGCAAAUGCUCAUAAAAAUGGCAAAUCUGAGCCACAGCAUCUAAAGAUGUCCUUUUCAUUGUUUACAGCAUUUUUGUUGGCUCUUAUUUAAGGAAUUUGUGUUUGCUAAAUCGCCUCUUGAAGAAAAGUUGGUUAGUUGAAAUGAGGGAAAACGUUUAUUUAGCUUAUUAUAUGUUUUUGAAGUUUGGUGGCGAUAACUACUCCAUAGUUUGAGGGUGUCUGGCAUAUUUUUCUCUUCAUAUUUAGCAUUCAAGAAAGUGUAGUUUCUAACAGUGCAUUAUUGGACCUGCCCGGCAGCAACUGUGGAUGGCCUGCUUAUAUGCUGGCAACCAGUUUUUGCUGCUGUAAGCUAGAGUUUAUGCCCAGCACCGUAUUGUUAUUAUUGAGCAUUUCUUUGUGACAUUGUUGUUAGUGUUUAGCAUUGCAUUCCUUCUCCCUUAAUAGGUAAUCAAACUUUCAGGCAAAUAACUAAAAUGUGAAUUUCAAUUCUCAUUUCUUUCAAGUUUAUUCUCAUGCUAUUUUACGAGUCUAAUUUAAAUAGGGUAAAAUGUAUAGACCCUCUGAACUUCAGCUCUAUAGCAAAUAAUUGCCUGAACUUAUAAUUCUGGGGAUUACGCCUUUUAAACUUUUAUUAAAACAAUUUAAUGGGGAAGCAAAGUGUUGUUCAGCCCUCCGAUGAGAGAUGGAACAGAUGGACGGGUGCACCGCUGAGGCGAUAUGACGGAUGUACAGGGUGUGCUUGCUUUUUCCUAUGGGACCCUCCAUUUCAGAAGGAGAAAUGUGUAUUGGCUGGACAUAGAUGAUGUGGUGUGGGUGUUACAUAGUAGACUUCCUCCUCCUGACUCUCUUCCACCCAAUAAAUAAAUAAAUAAAUAAAUAAGCAUUUCUGUGCUCUCCAGUCUCUUCCCUUUCUCAACAAGUGUAUUUAGGUUGAGAAUCUAGUAAUGGCGGGGUAGCUUUGGAUGGUCUGCUCUUCUGCAGGCCACCGAGCUGCAGCCAUUAGUCUAGAAAUUCGGCAGUGGCGGGAGCUGCAGUGGUGGCGGUGGCGGCGGCGAUGGCGAUCAUUCAUCAUGACGAUGAGGGUGAUUAUGAUUGUUAUGAUUUUUAAUAGGGCUUCGGCUUUAUCAGAGGAUGCGUCCUUCAUCGAUGGCAUUACAUUAUCAUCUUCUUGAUAUCUCUCAUAUUUCUUGAUCCUGGCUAAAGUAACUAUCAUCAUUUUGUUUUAUUCUACUUCUCAAUGUCUUUUAUUAAUGCCUUCUUCUGCUUGUUGUUAUUUGUUAUUAGGGGCUUAUUGCCUAUAUACCUCUCACUACUAUUCAAAAUUCUAAAAUUUACCCUUCUAUUCCCAAAAUACCCUUCUAAACCUCAAAUGCCAUUAGAAAACCCUAGGGUUUAGGGGAUAUUUGAAGGAAUUUUUAGAAAUCAGUAAUGACAUUUUAGUCAACGAGGGAUAUAUUAGAUAUUUUUGGAGUUUUGAAGGGUAUAUUAGAUAUUAUCCCUUAUUGUUGUUGUUGUUGUUGUUGUUGUUGUUGUUGUGAUAGGUAGUGGUGGUGGCGGUGGUGAUGAGUCUACCAUCUCACCGCCCCUUCCUGGAAGGGAGAACCCACAAAAUUUUGCUUUUUGGGAUUGAUCAAGCCUUCAUUCUUGGUUUUAUAUGUAUAAAAUUGAGCUCCUAUGCUUUUAAAAGCACCAAGUCAUUGAGCUCCUAGGGUUGAGUAGGCGGUUGGUGGAAUAGCAUAAUAGCCGGACUCUCUCUCUCUAUAUAUAUACAUGCAAUUUGUAUUUGUGGGGGAUUAAAAAGGGAAAAACAGCAAAGAUACCUAAGUUUUCAGCGGUAGGUACAUAGAAUGGUAAUCUUGGAGAGCUCUGCUUUUCUGCAGGAAGCCGUUCUUCCUUGUGAUGUCUUGCUUCGACUAGUCAAAUGGUUGGAAACAAACUAGUUGAAACUUUUGAUGGGUCUCUUGCCAUGUCAUCAACCACAAUAUUGCCACGUUACUGCUACAUUAGUGGCACAUCACCAUUCACUCAACUAAGUAGGCCUGUGAGACUUGAUUGCAAGAAUCAAAGAAGUUCGAGCCAGAAAUUGCAGCUUUUAUAGUUUGAGGACCAAAGUGUCACCAGCCUCAUAGUUUGAGGACUGAAGUUUAAUUUAGCAAUAUUUCAUCUAACCAACCAGUAAUGAGGCAAUAAUUUUCCUAUCUUAGCUACCUAUAGCCGCACUCAAUUGGAAGGUCUGCUGUUUCGAAGGCAACCUUGUUCUGUCAUAUGUCUUUAAGGUGCAUAAGACUACAUGAUGCCUCUUUAUAUAAUUGAAUGGCAGGUCGGAGCUUUUUUCCUCGUCUUGAGAAACUUUACUUCUACUUUCUUUUCAGCUUUUAACAUUUCACAUGCUGACUGUAUGCUUCAAGCAGACAGGCCCUUACUGUUUCAUGCAAUGUUAAGUGUUUCUCCUUCAUUUACUUGUCAAAGGAGGCUGUGAUGAUUGCCAGUUGGGAAUGCACCUGAACUUCUUUUAUCCUGUCAUUUGCUUCUCGGCGAAUUGUAAAAACUGAUCAAAAUACUGAAUAUAGGAGGCAAUAUGGUCAACUGAAUCCUAAGAUCUUGGUUGUGUUUUGAUAAUUUGGGUGGGAUUUGAAUCCGGUUUGUUGGUAGUUGUCGUUUUGCUUUCCUUGAGAGCCUUUUGCUUCGUUAAUUUGUGGGAUACACGGCAUCUCAGUCGGUGGCUUUUUGCUGACAUGGUUCACCGGGUGCAGGCAAUAAUUUUUCCUUUCUGAGCAGCUCAUCAGGCCAACAGUAGCUACCUGUAGCUGUAGUUAAAUUGGAAGGUCUGCUAUCGUGCAGGCAACCUUAUGCUGUCGUAUUUUUAAGGUGCAUAAGAUUACAAGAUCCCUCAUGAGGUGAUUGAAUGGCAUAUCUGAGCCUCCAUUUUCUUCUCCUACUUCCUUCUUAGCUAUUAAGAUUUAGUGUUACAUUUUUUUUCUUUCUUACUGCAUGUAGAAGCUAGGAUGGGUUGUUUCAAAUAUUCCUUGUCCACCCGCUGAAAUACUGCAUCGUGCUGGUUGAUGGUAAAUUUUCUAUCCUAUAUGUAUUCAGAUCUGAGGCAACUUGCUAAUUUUUUCAGAUUUUGUUAAGACUGAAUAUAAUUAAAGAUUCAGAUAUCUGGCAUAUAAAUAUUUUGGUUAAUUUCUUCAAUACCCUCAAAAGUUGUAAUUUCAUACAUACCCCUUCAAAUUGCAAUGGGUUUAGGGUCGAUGCGUUAUUGCAUGCAUACAUCUCUCUCUCUCUCUCUCUCUCUCUCUCUCUCUCUCUCUCCAUUAGUAAUCAGGUUCUCGUAAAUUUGCAUCUGAUAGACAUCAAGUUUUGUUUCUGUGAAAUAUUAUUUGCAGGCAUGCAAUCAGAACUGCUGCUCAACUAAUAACUUGACUCAUGCCCUAUUAUAUUAUUUGAGAAAGUUUUAAGGAUUUAUUUGUUAAAAAUAGAUGUCUAGGAUCCUGUUUGCAAUAGUGUUAAAGUUCAGGGGGGCUUUGUACAUUUGUAAAUGCAUGUUGGGUGCGGCGCUGUGCAUCUUUUCGGGCUAUCUAGAGCGGCAAAGUACUUUUGAGUCCUCUGUUGACGGAUGGAUGGAUGGACAGGUAUGCCUUUGAGGUGGUGCGAAUGAAAGAGCCCUCGUUUGGGUAAAAUUAGGGAUGGAAGUUGUUAGGAUAAACUAAGAUUGAAUCUGACACUGGAUUCAAUAGGAUGCGACUACGGAUGUUAAAAUUUAGCAUCUGACACAUUCAUAUCCGGAUGCAAUUUGCAUCCAAAAAAAAAGUAUGGAUGCAUGUAUGGUUUCGUCAAAAAUCCCAUCAUAUUAGGCUAUUUUAACUCCUAUGAGAAAAGGGGGAAUUACAUGUAUGUUUGUUAAAUAUUAGAUUUUCGUGAAUAAAAUAUAGACAUGAAAUUUUAACACGAAUGUAGAACUUUAGUUGCAGCAUGUCUUAUUCACGCUAAUUCUAUUUUAUAUUUAUAUAAUGCAUUUUAGUACAUAUUACUAUCCAAAUAAUAUUCAAAUACGAUCCAAACCAUAUCCGAAUCCUUUUUUAGUGGAUAUGGUAAUGGAAAUUUAUCAUCCGCUACAUAACCACAUCCAAAUUUGCAUCUGAAGAUAAAUAUGAAGAUAAAUAUGGAUGCAGAUAUGAUUUUGUCAAAUAUCCGACUAUAUUUGGCUGUUUUCACCUCUAAUAAAGCAGAAGUACAGGGUGUGCUUCCUUCUGCCUAUAAGCUCCUGUGUCCCCUGAUACCCUCCAAAAAAAAAAAGCAAAAAAAGAAACCACAUUUCUCUCCUUUCUCAGAAACCAAACACCCCCAUAGAGCAUUUGGUGUUGGCUGGGCAGCACUGGAUAGUCUGCUGUUCUGCAGGCUACCAAGCUGCUGCCAUUAUUCCAGGAUUGGUGCGAUAACGGCAGAGGUGCUGAUCAUUAAUAAUGAUGAUGGUGAUGAUGAUCUUUAAAGGGGCUUCGACUUCAUCUGAGGAUGGCCCCUAUGUUGACGGCAUUGGAUUGCUAUCUUCUUGAUACCUCCUAUUUCUUGAUCCUGGUUAAAUUAACUAUCAUCAUUUUUUCUUAUACUUAUCUAUUUCUCUUCUUAAUGCCAUGAUGUUGUUGUUGUUAUUGUUAUUGUUAUUGUUAAUGUCAUUGUUAUUGUGGCAGCGUGGAGGUGGUGAUGGUGGAGUCUGCUGUCUCCCUGCCCUUUUGUGAGAAGGGAAACCCAAAGUCUUUUUGCGAUUGACCAAGCCUUCAUUCUUGGUUUUGGUUUUAUAUAUAUAUAUAUAUAUAUAGAGAGAGAGAGAGAGAGAGAGAGAGAGAGAGAGAGAGUCCGGCUACUAUGCUAUCAAUAGCACAGAGCGCUUGGUGCUACCAAGUUUUCCGCAGUUAGAUCUUCCCGUUGGCCAUUUUCACCCUUUAGAUCAUACUAUUCAACCAACCAUCCACUUACUAUCAUUCUAACCACACAUCUCUCCAUCCAAUGGUCAAAAACCUAAUAGCACCAAUGAUUUGGUGCUAUUAAUUGUAUAGCAGUCUAUCUCUCUCUCUCUCUCUCUCUCUAUAUAUAUAUAUAUAUAUAUAUGUACUCUCUCUCUCUCUCUCUCUAUAUAUAUAUAUAUACAGUUUGUAUCUGGGGGGGAAAGGAAAAGAACAGCAAUGAUACCUAAUGAGGCCUCCAAGUUUUCAGCAGUAGGUGCAUGGCAUGGUAAUCUUGGAAGGCGCUGCUUUUCAGCAGGCAACCAUUUUUCCAUGUAUGCCUUGCUUAGACUUGCUGAACUUGUUCAAAACAAACUAAUUGAAGCUUUUGAUGGGUCUCUUGCUGUGUCAACAACCAUGACACCAUCGCAUUACUAGUGAGACAUUACUGUUCAAAACUAAAUUUGCCUAUGAGACUUGGUUGCAACAAGCAAGAAAGUUUGAGCUACAGCUGUUAUAGUUUGAGGACCAUAAUGUCACCUGCCUCAUAGUGUGAGCACCAUAACUGUCAACUGCGUUUUCUAAUUUUCUUCCAACUUUUCACCCAGUAGUAGGGUUGACAAUCCGACUUGCUGUUCGCGAGCCAGAUCGUGUUCGGCUCGUUAAUAAAUAAGAUGAACACGAGCUGGAUUAUUUAGCUUGAUAUUUUAACGAGCCAGCUAUUGUUUGGCUCAUUUCUUAAACGAGUCGAACAUGAGCUGGCCCAGCUCGCUUGUGUUCGGUUCGUUGACAGCCCUGAGCAGGCAAUAAUUUUCCUAUCUCAGCUGCCUACAGUAGCACUCAAUUGGAAGGUCUGCUGUUUUGCAGGCAACUUUGUUCUGUAGUUUGUCUUUAAGGUGCAUAAGACUACAUGAUUCCUCUUGAUAUGAUUGAAUGGCAGGUCGGAGCAUCUCUGUCCUUUUUCGUAUUUCUCUUGUUGACUGUAUACUUCAAUCACACAGGCCUUUAAUGUUUCAUGCAAUGUUAAGAAGCCUGUUUUCUCCUUCAUUUUACUUGUGAAAGGGGGCUGUGAUGAUUGCCAGUUGGGGAGACACCUCAACUUAUUUUUUCUUGGCUGUUGAUUCUUGGUAGUGUGCAGAAGCUGAUUGAAAAGUGGAUAUAAGAGGAAGUAUAGUCAAAUCCUAAAAAACUGCACUUUUGCAUUUUUUUUUUUUUUCCCUUUCAUGGAUAACCGUUGAAACUGCACAUUGCGGAAUCUUGGAUGGUCUGCACUUUCGCAGGCAAGCCAGUCACUUGUUGUUUCUUGCGGUUUGCUCUUUUUAAACCAUUUCUUUACAACAUCAUUUGCCUAGCAACCAAGUGGUGUCAAAUACAUCGUAUAUUAGCUUUUAAAAUUGUUAAUUUUUGGACCACUCGACUAAUACGCAAAUGAUAUCAAGAAAUUAUGAUGUUUGAAACCUAGAAAGUUGAAACAUCCUAGAUCAUGUUUGACAGUGCUGAUCGUCUAUCAUGAUGAUGCCCCAUUAUCGGAAAUGACACUGAAGUAAGCAGCGCUGUUUACUUCUAGAAGUAUUUUCUAGCCUGCUCUCUCUCUCUCUCUCUCUCUCUCUCUCUCUCUCUCUCUAUCUCUUUCUCUCUCUCAACUUUCUAGGUUGAAAUGUAGAGGAAAAAAGUUGGUGGUUGCACUAUUAUGGAUCAAUAGGAUCUAGGGUUCGCUUCGUCAAAUAUUCAAGCUUUAUUCCCUUUCCCAACACACACCCCCUGCUCCUCUUCCCCACCAAAAAAAAAAAAAGAAAGGAAAAGGAAAAAAGCAGUUUCUUGUGGAAACUUGCUCCUGCUUGACAUGCCAUCUUGAAUGGCUAGCUCGGACACAGGCAACCAGGACUUGCAUCCUUAUACAGGGGAUUUUAACCCUCAGUUUGCCAUUUUGAAGCAACAAGUGUUGGAUUAUAACUUAUCUGAAUGUACAUGUUCUUUGAGGAAUGGCUAUGAUGACUGCCUGGAUGCUCCAGAACUGAAGCAUUUGAUUGAAUAUAGCUCGGCAUUCUUUGGAAGGCUUGCAUUUCCGUGAGCAACCAUUAUGCGGCUGUUUGUGUAGUUCUGUGAAGAUUCUGAUGAAAAGGCCAGAUCUGAGCCACCUCCCUUCUCAACAUCAUCCUUCUUCAUAGGCUAAAUUAUGAAAAGCUUUGUUGCACUUUAUCCUGUCUCACAAUUGUCUGCCAGCUUGAGAAAGACGGUUUGUUGACAACUGUCCCCCUGUUGAUAUCUUUGACUCUUAUGGGAAACAAUUGCGACAUGUUUAUUGGGUAAACGAAAGAAAUAUGUUGAACUAUAUGGUCAUGCGUCGAAAGAGGCUCUAAAUUUGCACUUUUGGUGUGCGUUAGAAUUGAUUUGUGCUGCUGUUUAAAAGAUGUGUUCUUACGCCUUUUCAUUUUGUUUGUGGUUGUGAUGAUUAGGGUUGGCAAUCUAGCUCGAUGUUCGGCUUGAAAGAAGAAAAGCUCGAGAUCGAUUGCUCGUUUAAUAAACGAGCCGAACACAAGCUGAAUUUUUCGACUCGAAAUCUUAACGAGCCGAACAAGAGUUGGGGCAAGCUCGUUUGUGUUCGGCUCGAUAUAGCUCGAACAUAUAUAUAUAUAUAUAUAGAGAGAGAGAGAGAGAGAGAGAGAGAGAGAGAGAGAGAGAGAGAGAGAGAGAGAGCCCUCCCUGCUUCUAAGUUGUUUUCGAUGUUCGGACUUUCAAAUCGACGAUCGGCUCCGUUAGAGUUAAUCUAGAGUAUUUGAAGUACCUAGAAAAUAAAUUGUGAUUUUUCGAUAUCAUUUGCCUAGUGAUCGAAAGGGCUCAAAAUCAAUAAUUUUAAUGGCCGUGGUGAGCCGGUUGCAAGUUUAACGGUGUAGAAAUAUCCAAAUCACAUAAAAUUUUGAUAGAAAAUUCUUUAUACUAUAUAAAACAAGAUCAAUAACUUUGAUCUAAAAUUUUAAUGUCAUAUCAUCAUAUUUUGUAAGAUUUUUAUUUUCAGCCGUUGAUUUUGAGCCACUUCGAUCACUAGGCAAAUGAUAUCGAAAAAUCGCAAAAUUUAUUUUCUAGAUACUUCAAAUACUCUAAAUCAAGUCUAACGGAGCCGAUCGUCGAUUCGAAAGUUCGAACAUCGAAAACAACUUGGAAGCACGGGGCGCUCCGUGCUUCCAGAAGCAUACCAGACGCACUCUAUAUAUAUAUAUAGAGUCCGGCUACUAUGCUCUUAUGAGUACGAUCGCCCUCGUAGUCAUAAGUCGGUUUCGAUGAUAGAGCUUCCGAAUCGACGAUCCAUAUCGUUAAACAUUAUCUAGCGCAUUUAAAACUUACAGAAAUCAAAUUUUAUAAUAUUUUGAGAUCAUUUACCUUACGAUCAAAAGGUCACAAAAUUGACAAUUUUUAACGGCCGGUAUGAGACACUUGCUGGUUUAACGGUGUAAAAGAAUCGGAAUCGGUUGAAUUUUUGAUAGAAAAUUCUAUUCACUAUCUAGAUAAAGAUCAACAACUCCGAUCUUAAAUUGAAGGAUCCGAUCAUCCAUUUUUAGGACGUUCAAUUUCGACCGUUCAUUUUAUACUCACUUGAUGGACUUUAUUAUGAUUUCGAAAAAUCACGAAAUUUAUUUUCUAGAAGUUUCAAAUACUCUAGAUCAUAUUUAACAGAGUGGAUCGUCGAUCCAUAAGCUCCAUCAUGGAAAACAAUUUAUAAGUAUGAAGGACUCUAUACUCAUAAGAGUAUAGUAGCCCUAUUAUAUAUAUAUAUAUAUAUAUAUACAGUCCGGCUACUAUACUAUUAAUAGCACGAAGCACAUGGUGCUACCAAGUUUUCUGCCGUUAGAUCUACCUUUUUGAUCAUUUUCACCCGUUAGAUGAUGCUAUUCAACCAACCACCCACUCAACCCUAGGGGGCCCACAUCAUCCUAACCGCACAUCUCUCAAUCCAAGGGCUAAAAAACUAGUAGCACCAAUAGCUUGGUGCUAUUGAUAGCAUUCACCCUAGUUCUAUAUAUAUAGUGCUAUUGAUAGUAUGCCUAGUUCUAUAAAUAAUAUAUAUAUAAAUAUAUAUAUAGAGUCCCGCUAUGCGUGCUUGUAAAAGUAACAAGCACUUGGUGCUGUAAAAUUUUUUACCGUUGAUCUAUACCUUUGAUCAUUUUUAUACCCGUUAGAUUAUACUAUUCAACCAACCACCCACUCAACCCUAGGGGCCCACAUCAUCCUGACCGCACAUCCUUUAAUCCAAGGGUCGAAAACUUACAAGCACCAAUGACUUGGUACUUUUAAAAGCAUAAGGACUCAAUUUAUAAUAUUAUAAUAUAUAUAUAUAUAUAUAAUAUAGAGUUGGACUGGGCUACUAUAUUAACAAAAUUCAUUGUUGCUACCUCCAGAACUAGGCUAACAUACAAUUAAUAACACCAAAGUUAUUGUACUACUAAGUUUUUAGCCCUUGGAUUAAGAGAUGUGCAGUUAGGAUGAUGUGGACCCCCUAGGUUGAGUGGGUGGUUUGGUUGAAUAUCAUAAUCCUAAUGGUAAAAAUAUCAAGAUGGUUAAAUCUAAUGUGAAAACUCUAUAGCACCAAGUCCUCUGGUUCUAUCGAUCGUUAUCAUAGCCGAACUCUCUCUCUCUCCUCUCCUCUCUAUAUAUAUAUAUAUAUAUAUAUAUAUAUAUAUAUAUUAGCCUAGUGGUAUACUAUCGUAGCACAAGACUUAGCACGGAGCCUCUAUGCUACCAAGUUGUUUUCAAUGAUCCGCUCUCAAAUCGACGAUCAGUUUUGUUAGACUUGAUCUACACAUUAAAAGUAUUUGGAAACUAAUUUCAUAUAAAUUUCUCGAACUCAUUUGGCUACGUGAUCAAAAUCUCAAAAUUGACAUUUAAUGGUAAAGAUGUAGAUGUGUUUGUGAAUUUAACGGUGUAAAAUAACCCAAAUUUGAUUAAAUUUUAUAAAAAAUUGUUUUCACCUAUUAAGAGUAAGAUUAGUACUUCUGAUCUUAAAUUCAAGUCUUUUAUUAUCAUUUUGUUAUGAAUUUGUAUUUGCAGCCGUUCAUUUUUAGAUUACUCGUUUGAUAGGUAAUUAUGCCGAAAUUAUUAUUAAAUUUAGUUUUCGAAAUACUUAAAUGGUGUAUGAUCAAGUCUAACGAGCCAAUUGUCGAUUUGGAAGCUGUAACAUUGAAAACAAUUUGGUAGCAGGGCCUCCGUCUACCGAUAGUUACCAGCCUAGUCUCUCUCCCUCUCUCGUUCUCUCUCUCACUCUCUCCUCCUCUCUCUCUAUAUAUAAUAUAUAAUAUAUAUAUAUAUAAUAUAUAUAUAUAUAAUAUAUAUAAGUCCGGCUACUAUACUCUUAUGAGUACGUCGCCCCUCCGUACUCAUAAGUUGUUUUCGAUGAUAGAGCUUCCGAAUCGACGAUCCAUGCAUUAAACAUUGUCUAGAGCAUUUAAAUUUCUAGAAAUCAAAUUUCAUAAUUUUUCGACAUCAAUUUACCUUACGAUCAAAAGCUCACAAAAUGAUAUUUUUAAUGGCCGUAUGGGAUUAGUCUUCGCUAGUUAAACGGUGUAAAAGAAUUGAAAUAUGUUGAAUUUUUGAUAGAAAAUUUUAUUCACUACCUACAAUAAGAAUCAAUCUUCGAUCUUUAAAUUGAAGGAUCCGAUCAUCUAUUUUUAGACGUCGUUCGAUUUUGACCGUUCAUUUUAUAGCCCGUUUGAUAUGGACUUUAUUAAUGGUUCGAAAAUUACGGAAUUUAUUUUUUAGAAGUUUCAAUACUGUAGAUCAUAUUUACGGAGUGGAUCGUCGAUUUGGAAGCUCUAUCAUCGAAAACAACUUAUGAGUACGAAGAGCCCAAUACUCCAUAAGAGUAUAGUAAGCCCCAACUAUAUAUAUAUAUAUAUUAUAUUCCAUUGUUGCUAACCAAUUUUUUAGCCUUUGGAUCAACUUUUUUUAUUAUUUCUAACCAUUAGAUUAAAUACUAUAAUCUAGUGGGGACCACUCAACCUAGGGGGACCACUCAACAUCUAACCGAUUAAUAUCAAUCCUGACCCUAUACAAUUUUUAUCCAGGGUUAAAAACUUGAUAGCAAAAAGAACGUUUACUAUUAAUAGUAUUCCAGCCUAUUCUAUAUAUAUAUAUAUAUAUAUAGAAUUAGGCUACUAUACUAUCUAUAGUACGGGAACUCCCGUACUAUAGUGUUGUUUUCGAUCUUAGGGCGUUCAAAUCAACGAUCCACACCGUUAAAUAUGAUCUAGGGUAUAUGAAGUUCUUAGGAAUAAAAUUUUAGUUCUUUUCGAUAUCGUUUACUUAGUAAAUAAAUUAUGUCAAAAUGGACGGUGGGAAUUGAAUACUCUUUAAAAUUUGAGCAUAGGACUUUUAAAUUCAAGAUCAAGAAUGUUAACCUUAAUCUAUAUAGUUUAAAGAGACAUUUGUAAAUUUUAAUUAUUAGAUAAAAUUCUAAUUUUCUAAUUUUCUUUCAACUUUUCAUCUAGUAGUAGGGCUGACAAUCUAAUUUACUGUUCGCGAGUCUGCUCGUGUUCGGCUCGUUAAUAAACAAGGCGAACACUAGGUGAAUUUUUCAGCUCAUUAUUCUAAUGAGUCGGUUUGUGUUCGGCUUGUUUAAUAAAUGAACGAAUACGAGUCGGCCCCAGUUGUGCUUGACUCGUUGACAGCCCUAGUGAUGAUUGCCAAGAAUGGAAGCACCAAAACCCUUCAGCAUUAGAGAAAACUUUGAUCUGCACUGGUUGGCAACUUUCGGAAGGCUUGUUCUGCAAGCAUCCAUUUCGCAUCUGAUAUGUGUAGUUCGCAAAUGCUCAUAAAAGUGGAUUACAGAACUCCCCUGAUCGUCUAUUUGGAGCCUCAUUAUUGGAAAUGACGGGGAAGCAGCGUCAUUUACUUCUAGAAGGAUUCUAGCCUCUCUCUCUCAAAUUGGUUGAAAACUUGAAAUAUAGAGCAAAAAGUUGGAGGUGGCACUAUUAUGGGUCAAUCCGGUGUAGGGUUCACUUCUUGAAGUAUUCUCCUCCCCCCCCUCCGCCACCUUGCACGCCACCCCCCAACGGGCAGAAUGCAUUUUCUCGCGGCAGUCUGCUCCUCCCGCUCAGCAUGCUUGCUUGAAUGGCUAGCUCAGAUGCAGGCAACCAAGAUUUGCAUCCAUACAGGGGAUUUUAAUCCUCAGUUUGCCAUUUUGAAGCAACAAGUGUUGGAUUGUACGUUAUCUGAAUGUACAUUUCUUUGAGGAAUGGCUAUGAUGACUGCCUGGAUGCACCAGAACUGAACCAUUUGACUGAAAUGUAGCUUGGCAAUUUGGUAAGGCUUGCGAGUCCGUGAGCAACCAUCAUGCGGCUGUUUGUGUAGUUCUGUAAUGAUUCUGAUGAAAAGGCCAGAUCUGAGCCACCUCCCUUCUCAACAUCAUCCGUAUUUAUAGGCUAAAUUAUGAAAACUUUCUUGCGCUUUAUUCUCUGUCACAAUUAUCUAACUGCGUGAGAAAGAUGGGCUGUAGACAACAGUCCGCUUGUCACAUAUUUGACUCUGGUAAAAAGUUGCGACAUGUUUGUUGGGUAAAUGAACGAAAUAUGUUGAACAAGAUGGUCAUGUGUCGAAAGAGGGUCUAAAUUUGCACUUUUGUUGUGCGAGGGGUUUUUGCAUGUUUUGCUCUUCAUAUAAAGCUAUUUACACAUACACCACAUUUUAAAUUUGAAUUUUGUUGUGCUCUCAAGAAAGUGUAGUUUCUUACAGAGCAUUGUACAUAUGCCCUGCAGCAACUUUGGAUGGCCUGCUGUUCUGCUGGCAACCAAUUAUUCCUGCUGUGUGUUGGAGUUUAUACCCAUCUUCGUAUCAUUGGUGUUGAGCAUUGCAUUCUAAAAAAUUUGGGUUAAUUUCAUACAGCUCCCUGUAAACAUUUCGAAUAGCAAAUAUAUCUCUACAAAGUUGAACUUUUCAUAGUUAUCCAUGCAAAAGUCCGGUGAUGCUCAUAUUUGCUCCUCUGGUUUAUUACCGUUAGAGCUAGGGGUGGAAACGAGCCGAGCACGAGCGAGCUUACUUAAACACAAGCUUGGCUUGAAAUUAAUUUUGAGCCUAAAUUUAGGUUCAAGUUCGGCUUGAAAUUAAUUCGAGCUGAGCUCGAGCGAGCCUAACUUCAAGUCGAGCGAGCUCGAGCCCUAAACGAGCUGCUUGAAAUUUUUGACAUUGUGCAAUCUAUAGUUUAGUUUUUAUAAAACAUUAUCUAAAAUUUGAUACAAAAAAUGUCUAAUAGUUCAACAUACAAAAUAAAUGUAUGAAAUAUAAUAUUAUAAUAUUAAAAAAAAUUAGAGAAAGCAACUCUGCGAGCAAAUGAAAGAGAGAGCACAAUUAGAGUAGGAUUUUGCUGGUUUGGUUUUGUGGGCCUAAUAAUCUAAACUCUAUAUACAUAUAAUUAAAAUACAUAAUAUAUAUUAUUUUAUAUAAUUAAAAUAUAUAUAUUAUAUAUGAUUAUAUAUAGAGAGUUCGGCUAUUAUACUCUUAUGAGUAUGGACUUCCUUAUACUCAUAAGUUUCGACCGUUAGAUCUAUCCCUUUGACCAUUUUCAUCUGUUAAAUCAUACUAUUCAACCAACCACCCUUUCAAUCCUAGGGGACUGCUGUCAUUUUAACCGCGCACCCUUUUAUCCAACGGCCGAAAACUUAUGAGUAUAAAAGAGUCUAUACUCACAAGAGUAUAGUAGCCCUAGCCUCUCUCUCUCUCUCUAUAUAUAGAGGCUAGGGUUACUAUACUCUUAUGAGUAUAGAGCCUUUCGUCAUAAGUUUUCGGGCGUUCGGAUAAAGGGAUGUGCGGUUAGGAUAUAGUGGGUCCCAGUUGAGAUAUAGUGAUCCUCUAGGGGUGAGUGGGCGGUGCUGGUUGAAUAAUAUGAUCUAACAGCCGGUGAAAAAAUGGUCAAAGGGUAGAUCUAACGCUGAAACUGUAUGAGUACAAAAGGGCCUAUAUCAUAAGAGAUAGUAUUCUAGCAAAACUAUAUAUAUAUAUAUAUAUAUAUAUAUAUAAUUAGGCUAUUAUACUAUUGAUAGUACCAACCGCUUGCUAUUAUGUUUUCGGCCCUUGGAUGAAAGGAUGUGUGGUCAAGAUGAUAGUGGCCGCUUAGGUUUGAGUGGGUGGCUAGUUGAAUAGUAUAAUCUAACGGAUGGAAAUAGUCAAACGGAUAGAUCUAACGGUAGAAAAUUCGAUAGCACCAAACCUUGGUAGUAUCGAUUAUAUAGUAGCCGGACUUUAUAUAUAGGUGGAUCUAACGGCUCAAAACUGGAUAGCACAAGCGUUUGGUGCUAUCGAGCUUUUUGCCGUUAGAUCUAUCUCUUUGGCCAUUUUCAUCCGUUAAAUCAUACUAUUCAAUUACCCACCUCUUCAACCCUAGGGGGCUACUAUCAUCCUGACCACAUAUCCCUUCAUCUAAGGGCUAAAAACCUAAUAGCAAGCGGUUGGUACUAGUAUGGUAGCAUAAUUAUAUAUAUAUAUAUAUAUAUAUAUAUAUAUAUAUGUUUCUACCUUUUCGAGCUUAAUUCGAGCGAGUGCAGUAAUACUCAAGUUCAACUGGAAAUUAAUUUCAAGCCUAAAUUUAGGCUCAAGCUCGGCUUGAAUUAAUUCGAGCUGAGCUCGAGCGAGCCGAAGAUCGAGCCGAGCGCGAGUCGAACACGAGCCGGCUCACUCAUUUGCCUGCCCUACCUUGAGGCGAUACGAGCUAGAGAGCCUGUUUUGGAGGAAAACAGAAGUACAUGGCUUCUAACUGUAAGCCCCUCCGUCUCCUCACUCCCACACUCGGAAACCAAACACCCCUUAGAGAAUCUGGUACUGGCAAGGCAACAUUGGAUGGUCUUCUGUUUUGUAGGCUACCGAGCUGCAGCCAUUAUUCCAGAAUUGGUGCGGCAAUAGCAGCGGGGGCGAUCAUUAUGUGGCCAUCAUUUAUAAUGAUGAUGAUCAUCAUCAUGAUCUUUAAAGGGGCUACGACUUCAUGUGAGGAUGCCUUCAUUGUCGACGGCAUCGGAUCAGCAUCUUCUUGCUCCCUUUCAUAUUUUUUGAUCCUGGCUGAAGUAAGAAGAGAACUUGGAUGAGUUCAAAGAGGAGAAAUUGAGACACCCAUUUCUCCCCAAUUUCUCCUCUCUCACCCUAACCACCCAUCAAUAGCCCAACUCUCUCUCUCUCUCUCUCUCUCUCUCUCUCUCUCUAUAUAUAUAUAUAUAUAUAUAUAUAUAUAUAGUUUGUGUUUGGGGAAUAAAAGGAAAAAAAACAGCAACCAUACCACCUGAGGCAUUAAGUUUUCAGCAGUAGGUGCAUGGCAUGGUAAUAUUGGAAGGCUUUGCUUCUUUGCAGGCAACCAUUUUUCCAUGUCAUGUCUUGACUUGCGGAAAUUAUUGAGAACAAACUUAUUGAAGCUUUCGAUAGGUCUCUUGCCACAUCAAUCACCACAACACUGGCACAUUACUGUUGCAUUAGUGAGACAUUCCUGUUCACUUAAAAUUCGCCUAUGAAACUUGAUUGUAACAAUCAAGAAAGUUUGAGUUAGAAAUUGCAGCUAUUAUAGUUUGAGGACUAAAAGUGUAAUUUAGCCUUAUUUUAUAAAACAAACGACUGGGCAGGCAAUAAUUUUCCUAUCUCGGCUACCUAUAACUGCACUCAAUUGGAAGGUCUGCUGUUUUGCAGGCAACCUUGUUUUGUCAGUUGUCUUUAAGUUGCAUAAGACUAUAUGAUGCUUUUUGAUAUGAUCGAAUGGCCGGUCGGAGCCUCUCUGUCCUUCUCCGUUCAUUUCAGUUAGUAAUAAUUCUCAUGCUGACUGUCGAUGUCGUCAUGCUGACUGUAUGCUUCAAUCAGACAGGCCCUUAAUGCUUCAUGCAAUGUUAAGGAAGCGUCUCUCCUUUAUUUUACGUUUCGAAGGAGGUUAUGAUAAUUGGCGGUUGGGAAGGCACCUCAACUUAUUUUUUUUUCUUGGCUUUUGAUUCUCAAUGGAGUGCAGAAGCUAUGGAUAUAAGAGGUAGUAUGGUCAACCCCAAAAACUGCACUUUUGCAAAAAAAAAAUUUCCCUUUCAUGAAUAACUGUUGAAACGGAUGGUCUGCACUUUUGCAGGCAACCUAGCAGUUGCAUGCUGUUUUUUGUGGUUUGCAUUUAUAAGCCGUUUCUUCAUGGCAUCAUUUGCCUAGCGAUCAAGCGGUGUCAAAUGCAUCAUAUAUUAGCCAUUAAAAUUGUUGAUUUCUGGACCACUCGAGUACUAGGCAAAUGAUAUCAAAGAAUUAUGAAGUUUGAAACCUAGAAAGUUGAAAUAUCCUACAUGUUUGAUUGUCUAUCCGGAUGCCCCGUUAUUAGAAAUGAUGCGGAAGUAAGCAGCGCAGUUUACUUGUAUAAGCAUUUUACACCCCCCCCCNNNNNNNNNNNNNCUCUCAACUUUCUAGGUUGAAAUAUAGAGAAAAAAGUUGGUGGUGGCACUGGCCUAUUGUGGAUCAGUAGGGUCUAGGAUUAAUUUCUUGAAGUAUUACCCCCACGGCCCCACCCACCCUCUCCAACCUUAAAAAAAAAAAAAAAAAACUCAAAAUGCAGUUUCUCGUGGAAACUUGCUCCUGCUCGGCGUGCUUAUCUUGAAAGGCUGGCUUAGAUGCAGGCAACCAAUAUUUGCAUCCAUGCAGGGGAUUUUAAUCCUCAGUUUGCCAUUUUGAAGCAACAAGUGUCGGAUGUACCUUAUCUGAAUGUACACGAUCUUUGAGGAAUGGCUAUGAUGACUGCCUGGAUGCACCAGAACUGAAGAAUUUGACUGAAACGUAGCUUGGCAAACUUUGGAAGGCUUGCAAUUCUGUGAGCAACCAUUAUGCAGCUGCUUGUGUAGUUCUGUGAAGAUUCUGGUGAAAAGGCCAGAUCUGAGCCACCUCCCUUCUCAACAUCAUCAUCCCUAAACUAUGAAAAGAUUGCUUGCACUUUAUCUUCUGUCACAAUUAUCUAACUGCUCGAGAAAGAUGGACUGUAGACAACCAUCCGCUUGUAGACAUCUUUGACUCUAUGGUAAACAAAUGCGACAUGUUUGUUGGGUAAAUGAAAGAAAUAUGUUGAACAAGAUUGCCAUGUGUCGAAGGAGACUCUUAUUUGCACUUUUGCUGUGCGUCAGAAAUGAUCUGUGGUGCUGUUUGAAGGUGCAUUCUUAUGUCUUUCCAUGUGGUGGGUGUGAUGAUUACCAAGUAUGGAAGAACCACAACCCUUCAACAUUAGACUACUUUGAUCUGCACAGCUUGGCAACUCUCGUACGGCUUGUUCAGCAAGCAUCCAUUUGCGUUUGUAUGUGUAGUUCGCAAAUGCUCAUAAAAAUGGGGUAAAAACGUACAGAACUUAUCUGAACUAUGGACUAUUUUGAGAAACACAGAUUGUAGACAACUAUCUACUCGUAGACACCUUAGACUCUAUGGUUAACAAUUGCGACAUCUUUGUUGGGUAAAUAAAAGAAAUGUGUUGAAUAAGAUGGUCGUGUGUCGCAAGAGGCUCUAAAUUUGUACUUUUGUUCCGCACCAGAAAUGGGUUGGGCUGCUGUUGAAAGAUGCAUUGUUAAUCUACGUGGUGGCUGUGAUGAUUGUCAUGUAUGGAUGCACCAAAUCACUACAAUAUUUGACUGAACUUUGAUCUGCACAGCUCGGCAACCUUUUAAAGGCUUGUUCUGCGAGCACCCAUUUUGCUUUAUAUGUGUAGGUUUGCAAAUGAUCAUAAAAAUUGCAGAUCUGAGCCAGUGUCUAAAUAUCUCCUUUUCGUUGUUUAGACCUAACAAUUUUUUUUUACCCCUAGCCUGUUCUUGUUUAAAGAAUUUAUGUUUGCUAAAUCACCUCUUGCAGCAAGCGGGUUAGGUGAUAUGAGGAAAAUUGUUCCUUUAUGUCAAUAUAUGUUUUUGAAGUUUAGUGGUGAUAAUUACACCACAGUUCGAGGGGUUUGGCAUUUUUUUGUCUUUAAAUAUGGCCUGCAGGAAGUGUAGUUUUUAACAGAGCAGUAGACCUGCCCGGCAGCAACAUUGGAUGGCCUGCUUAUAUGCUGGCAACCAAUUUUUGCUGCUGUGAGCUGGAGUUUAUACCCAGGUUCGUAUUAUUAGUGUUGAGCAUUGCGUUGUAACUUUUGUAGUCGUACCGAGCCGAAGAAUUGCUCUUUUGCAUUCCUCCUCGGUGAGUAAUUGAAAUCUCCACUAAAUGUGAACUUCAAAUCUCACUUCUUUUAAGUUUAUCCUCAAAGCGGUUUUCUGUAAAAAUAAACUGAACAUGGGACUUUGGCAAUGUUGGGGGAUCUCAUGGGAGUGACAUGGUCAAAUACGGUGGGAUUUUUGACGAAACCAUACCCGUAUCCAUGUUUUUUUCAUUUUUUGGUAUGCUAAUUCGGAUACGAUGGUGUCGGAUUCGAUUGGAUUUUAUCCUAACCACUUUCACCUCUACUUGUGGUACAUUUAUUCGGAGCCAAAAUACUCUGAACCCUCCAAUGAGGGAUGGAUGGACAGGUGGAUGGACGGGUACAUCGCUAAAGCGAUACGAAAGAGAGAAACCAGCAUUGGGAACAAGCGGAAAUGCAGGGGUGCUCCUUUCUUCCUGUAAGCCCCUCCGUCUCCUACUCUCUUCCACCCCAAAAAUGAAAAAAAAGAAAGAAAGAAAGUCAUUUGUCUCGUUUCCUGUCUCUUCCUCUCGUCAGGGAAAGUGUUUUUAGGUUAGACAGGGAAUCUGGUAAUGGCGGGGCAGUUCUGGACGGUCUGCUCUUCUGCAGGCUACUGAACUGCAGCCAUUACUCCGAAAAUGCAUUGGCGGCUAUCAUUUCCUCCUACUUCCUUGAUGCCUUGUUGUUGUUGUUGUUGUUGUUGUUGUUGUUGUUGUUGUCAUUAUUAUUAUUAUUAUUAUUAUUGUCAUUUUUAUAACUGUGGUGGUGGUGGGGGUGGGUGGAGUCUACCAUCUCCCUGCCCCUUCGUAAAAGGGGAAGCUUUCGUGUCUCGGGGUUGACCGAGCCCUGUGUGUGUGUGUGUGUGUGUGUGUGUGACUACUAUACUUCUAGAAGCAUAUACUUCCAACUUUUGGACCCUUGGAUCCCUCAGGUUUACUUCUUGUUGAUGGUAUUGGUAUGGAUCCAAGGGCCCAGAAGUUGGAAUUUGUAACUUCUAAAUGCAGCAUAGCUCAACUACACACACACACACUGUUCGUGUUUGAGGGUUGGAAAAAAAAAAAAACAAAAAAACAGCAAGAACAAUUCUAGAUGGGGCCUUAAGUUUCAGCAGAAGGUGCAUGGCAUUGUAAUCUUGGAACAUGGUUGUUUCAAACAUUCAUUAUCAACCCCCAAGGCCUGAUUUUAUCUUUAAUUUUUCAUCCUCUGGCUUUCUUACUGCAUGUACAAUCUAGGAUGGGUUGUUUCAAACAUUCAUUAUCAACCCCCUGAAACCCUUCCUCGUGCUGGUAGAUGAUGACUGGAUAGAAGUUUGGGGGGUCUAUUUCGAAAAUGGUCUAUAGUUGAGGGGAUCUUCAUCCUAUUUAACCUCUCAAUAUAUCUGAUGGUGAAAAGGUAUUGAUAGUCCCUGUCGUAUCCCGAUGCUAUUCCAAUAUUGUGACUUAGUCCUUGAACCUUUUCCAUAGCACUCCUCUCUCUCAUCUUUCUUAUAUUCUUGGAAUUUCAUCCCUCCCAUCUCUUUGGUUCAUACGUUGCAGGGAAAAUCUCUCAUUAGAACUCUGCAUUGUAAUUUAAUUACUAGCGAGGAUUGGCAGGCGCGUGAUCAGUAAUUGGAGGCAGCUCUGGAUGGUCUGCCCUUCUGCAGGCAACCUAGCUUGCAGCCAUUUAUCCGGUCAUGGCUGGGGUGGAGGAGGUGGUGGUAGUGAUAAGGAUUGGAUGUAUGUGGGUUCAUAUGAUCCUCUUCUCUGAUUAGGGUAUCAUCAUCGUUAUCUUCUUGGCACUCGCUUAUUCUCUUGAUCCAAGUUCCUGUAAAGGAUGUCCUUCAUCAUUUACUUCUAUUUCGCAAUUCCUGUUCCUUGAUGUGUUUCGGCAUUUGUGGAAGUUUCUGUUGAUCAUCUUCAAGAUAUGCGGAAUAACCACUUUUGUGUGGAGUAAAGCUUCUCUCUGCGGCCUUCUGAGAUGGAUACCCAUGAAAUUUUGUGCCUCAGGGUUGAUGAAUGGCUAAAAAUCAAGCUUUUUGAUUUUGAUUGUGCAUUCUUCAUAUGGGUUUACAUCAAGUUGGUCGGUUAGCUCGGUCCAUUGACACCUCUAAUCUGAGCCAUGCUUCAUUAAUUCCUCUAAUCUGAGCCAUGCUUCAUUAAUUCGUGGGAUGGAUGACAUUGCAGCUGGUGGUGCAUGUCUGAUCUUGUGCACCGGGUGCAGGUGUAAUGCCCCGGACUCGUCGCAACCCGCCAAUGACGAGAGCUUGCUGAGGCGUCGACGGCGACAGGGAUGAUGGUGGUUUCCGGCAGCAAUUCCGAGAUAAUUAAUGCAGGGAAAAAGGGGUAAGAGAAGAGAGAUAGAGAUAGAGUUAGAGAUACACAGAGAGAUGAGGAUGGGAAUUAGAAGUAGAUAAGAGAAGAGGAGAAUUGGGGGUAGUAGAGAAGAAGAGGAAGUUUGGGGAGAAGAAAAUAUCAAUUCAUUUCAUUCAUAAUCUGUUUACCGCGCUAAUUUGGUAUAUAUACUAUCUACUAACUCAUAUUGGAAUGUAAAAACAACUAUGUUAAGAGGGCUAUAGUGCAAAAGUGGUAAAUAGAGGUAUGGUCGGUGGGCUGCAAUUCAGCGGGCAAUUGGGCCUCAAUUGGGGUUGUUUGGUCCAAACUGCCUGGUAGUCGGGCAAACAGGUCGCAAUUCGCCCCUUCUCCGCACUAUCCAUCGCCCGGCGGAUCUUGGGUCCGCCUUUUCCCCCGAUCCGGGAUUUGGGGCCGCCCAAUCCACUCGUAAACGGACAACCGGGUCUCAGUUUGCCUUCUCCGCACUACCCACCGCCCCCUCAGCUCCGACGAUGCCCUAGCCCCGUCGCCCUGCCGGAGUUCCACCCGCACAGCCUCUCGCUGGAUCGCACCGCCGAGCUCGCUCCUCUCUACCCUGCUGUUGCCCUUAUUCCUCGCAUAACUAGUAAAGCUACCACUUUUACUACUCCUUUUAACUACUCUACUCCUUUAUUCUUCAGGUUGUUACGGCAGGCCGUAAUUUCUCCUAUCUUCUGCGUUUUGGGGUUUGAAUGCUCAAUUGGAAGGUCUGCAUUCUUGCAGGCAACCUGACAAACUCAUUUGUCUUUAAGGUGCGUAAGACUACAUGAUGCCUCAUGAUAUGAUUGAAUGGCAGAUCUGAGCCUCCCUUUUCUUCUUUGUUUCUUUUCAGCUAUUAAGAUCUAUUCUAGUAUUUCUUCUUCUCUGUAUUUGCUUCUGCAGGGAGAAGCUAGAUCAUCAAUUCCUAUUCCCUCUACUUUUCGGUGGCUUUGGCCUAUUUCAAGAUGGUCUGUAGUUGAGGGGUCUUCAUACAUGUAUCUCACACGCACUGUGGAAAUGUUUAAUUCAGGUAGCAGCAUGCAGUGCGAGGGUACAACCCAAAGCUUAACAAGAACAGAAAACAGAUGCAACGGCAAUUAAGCACUCAAUUUUACUGAUGGUUGCUAAGCGGCUAAAACAUCAAUGUCAUCUGUUACACUACAUAUAAUGAAAACAUGGAGUUUGUGGGGCAUUCAGGGUGAGGGUUGAUUUAAGCCUGAUUUUUCUCUUCCUCCCUUUCUCUCUCAUUUUUAUUUUUUUCAACUCAAUUCUCAUCUCCCUCUCUCUCUUUCUUUCAUCAAUUUCUUUCUCAUCUUUUACUGCACAAUCUAUUUUUAAGUAAUAAAUAUUAUAAAAUAAAAUAAAAGUUUUAUUAAAUAUAUAUGAUUUAAAUUAUAUAGAAAAGCUAUACGUGAAAAAUUACAAAAUUUGAACUUUUAUCUGAAAAUUUAGAAAAUGCAAUAGAUAAAUUUAGUUUUUUUAUCCAAUUUAUAAAAUAUUUCUCUUUCACUGUUCUAUCUUCUUCUUUUCAAUUACCAGCAACCGAUCUAUCUAUCGGUGCAUUGCAUAUACUAAACUUAUUUUUUAAAAAAUAAAAAUCACAAGAUUAAAAUGUAAUUCGACAAAUGCACUCUACACUAUAUAAAAAGUCUAUUUAAAAAAUUUAUACUGUUUUAAUUUUUAUAAUAGAGUUUUAAAAAUUUGGUGUGUAAGAUAUAUUUAUGCAUUUAAUGUGCCAAACAAUUUCUGGCUCGUCGCCGUCACAUCCUGUCGAGGGAACAAGAAAUCGGCAGAUCGUGGAGUUUGCCUACUUUCUCUCUCUCUUUUUUCGUGGAGUUUGCCUACUUUCUCUCUCCUCUUUCUCUCUUCUUUUCGUAAAAUGAUGAGGCAGCAAAUGUAUCUUUUGCUCUAUUAAUAUAAUCAAUUUUCUUCUUUUGCUCUAUUAAUAUAAUCAUUUUUCUUCUUUUGCUGUUGUUAUUUUUUUGUUUCGUCUUUUUCCUUCUAAUAACUUCGUUAUUAUUGUUGUUCUAGCUGGUUCUUCUUUAGCUUCUUUUUUUUUUAUUUUGUUAUAUUUUUACUGCCACUAUAAAUAUAUUUAUUAUUCUUAUGUUUCUGUUUUUAUUCUCCUGUUGCUGCUGCUGCUGCUUCUUCAACUUUUACUUUUUUCUAAUUCUUUAGUUUCUUUAAAUUCUUUUUAUGUUCUUACUGUCCUUUUUGCCUUCAGCUUUUUUCUUAUUUAUUUGUCUCUACAGAGCCGACUUUGCCGCAACGUGCCAGUAACUUCACUAGUUUUACAAGACCAGCUACUCUACUACAGACCGUAACCCAAGAACAACUUUUAUAACUUGAACUCUCUAUAUUACUCUUCAGAUUUGCCUAGAAUUCAACUCUUUAAGAGCAGACAACUUAGCAUGCCAUCAAAAUAUCUAGUUUAAUGAUCUGCCAAUUGUCGAUGUCAUAGAUUUCUUUGCAUAAACACAUGCUUAAUCUGAAAGCCAUAACUGAAUCAAACGAUUUAGUAAUCCAUCAUUCCCAAUUUAAAGAACCCAAAGCUGAUAAAUCUGGUGGAUUAGAAUGGAUUGUCAAACAUCGCCUUCAAAUAAUUAGCUGCAGUAGUUAGGAAAUGGGCGAUAAGAUUGGCAAAGCACAAAACAAACAGCGAGCGAUUUUGUAUCAACUAAACUCCUCUAAAGCUGAUCUAAAUACUAUGUCCAGAUGAUACAAUUUGGAACUCAGAAUAUGGCGUGUAAAAACAGUUUUCCUAAGGUAAUAAGGUUAAUAUGUCUGAAUUCCUCACUUAACAACUCGGAACUAACUAAUUUCUUAGAAUUUAGACCAUGCGCAUUUCAAUUUCCACAACUUGGACCAUUUUAUUGUGAAGGCGAACAUGUUUGCUCCACAUUAAUUUUCAGUUGUGUGGUAGAGAUCUCAGUUGGAAAGUGCAUCUAUAAAAAGAUGGCACAGAGAGACAUUACUUUGGUAGGCCAACUAAAUCUGCUUAACUGAAAAUUUGGAGGGCAAGUAAAUCUACCAACUUAUUCUUUCUAAUUCAAAGUACAAUUCAGACAUGAGAUCUCUUGUUUCUUGCAACAGCUAGAGCCUAUUUUUGUCAAAUACAAAACUGCAGUACCGUUUGGCCCCAAUACCUCUUUCAAUUGCCAAAAAUCAACAAAGAUUAACACUGUAAGUCACAAAAUUGUGAGAUUACCUCAAACUUUGCAUUCGGUUCCGAACGCCAUUCUAUUAGCGGCAAAGCAUCAAUGGUAAAGCAGCAACCAGGAGAAGAACAAAAAUAUAAAUGACACCUUGAGAUUCUAGAAUUCGCAAACCAUGUACCUUGAAAUUAAACUGAACCAAAAGCAACUCCAUCUACGAGAAAUAAACCUUCACGUACGGAUCGGAAUAGCAAUUCCAACUGUUUGUUUAGCAUGACCAUUUUCUCUAUCGCAAGAAGCAAACAACAGCAUUCGAAACAGGAAAAGCCCUCGGCUCUUUCUAUGGCAGCAAAUUGAAAUAAAAUUUCAUUGACUUGUCUGUCUCCAAAGAACUAAGUAGGAUUUAUUUCUCACAAAUAUAAAGGCCAACAAGCAAACACAACAUAUUGUUAUAUUUCAACUGCCUUCCAGACAAAUACCAAUAAGAAAUUAGCAUAAGCCAAUACCACUUAGAAUAUAAGGGCAACAUAUUUGCCUAAGCUAUGUGUUUUACACUGCAAAGUUUUGUAUCUCACACCGAACCCUACAAGUAGAUAAAUUUGACUCUUCACGAGAGCACCGACAAACUCCCAUAUUUAGGAAAAGUAGCAUCUUUUAUUUGUUAAAGCAAAGAUAAUAAGAUAAAAUGACACAAUAUAACUUGUUAAAGCCUCCAAAGUACUAACACCAAUAACUAAGAACUUAAAAUAAAGAAAAACCAGCAAUCGAAAAAAAAAAAAAAUUUACCACCAUUAUUCACGACCAAACAGCACCUGAAUGGGGAAGGCCUGGUGUAGAGCAUGACAUUCCGCCUGCAAAGCAAAUAAGGAAACAUCUAGUUAUGUUAUUGCAAAAAGACAGAAAAUUUAAACAAACAAGUAUUGCUAAUUAUAUUUCAUUGAUUAGCAUAAUCAUAUAAAGAUAACAUAGAGCAUGUUAUCCAACACUUUAUUACGAAUACUAUCAGGAAGCAUCAGAAACUAUUAUGCAACAAUUGAUUUGCAGGAAAUAAUUAGCAUCUCUUUCUGAAUCUUGUGAGAAUCAGUAAAAGAUAUAGUCCUCCUAACAAUUCAAAAGCCUCAUCCAAAUUCCUAAUUUUACAAGUCCAAGAAAUUACCAAUUUGGACAAAUAUAUAGCUAGCUAAUUGUGGUAGCUGAAAUUUUUUUCAUAAAAAAAAAUUAACACAAUGAGGAAAAAAUAGAAACUUAACAUAAAACAAAGUUGAACAUUGAUGUAACUAAGCAUUGGAAGUAGAAAUACAAGACGAACAGAAUAAAUAAUUUUAGCAUAGGAAACCUCAUUCUCCCUUUCUACAACAUAUCGCAUGUCACAUCGUUACAAAUAUCGAAUUAAAUAACAAAUGCUCUGAUUAAUUUAAAUACUAUAUACACAAACUAUAACCUAACUAUACAAACAAAUAAAUAAAAAUGUACCUCUACUAACUCGCAGUGGGCUUGAGUCUACAAAGAGCAACUCUAAUGUUACGUUGCACCCCAUAAAACACCUUCGCCUGGAAGAUUUUCGGCUCAGCUUCACCGUCAACUGCUUGGAAGGUAACAUAGUACCAAAGUCCUGCUGCGACACUACACGUUGCCUUCUCUAUUUUUACAAACACAUAACUCAUAUCCUACAUUAUGAAAAACAUCAUGAAAUCAAUUUUAUCAAAAAAAAAAAGAAACAAAGAAAAAAAAAAGAAGGAAAAGACAUACACAAGGCAACAUGAACAUACAUUUUCCUUAUUAAAAUGUUCGAUUGCCAAUUUAGUACAUCUGAUAAGAAUUUCAUCAUCAAAAUCCGUGAUCGCCGUAAGGCCAAACUCACAGGUGCCUGGAAAUGGAUCAACAUCGAAUCCCUGUAAAAGACAUGUAUUAACAAUUAGUGAAAAAAAAAAGUUGUGAAGCUUUAACUCUCAAAAAGAAGAUAAUAAUUAUUAAACACCUCGCUUUCCUUGAUUUGUUUGUAAUAUCUAGCCCAUUCUUCGUGAGUCCUACUGCGAUUACCAUUCGGCCAAACGUAAACCUCAUCUUCCUCUGAAGUAUGCUCAUAAACCCUUUGAUCCUUCUCGUUCCCUUUCUCUUCCUCUAUUUCACUUUGGGUAUCUUCCUCCUUGCCCUCUUCCCUCAUCUCUUCGCUUUCUUCCUGCAGUUUCAACUUCUUCUGCAGCGGCCCUUCAGGUAUCAGGUUCUUGGAAUUCUGCCUGUAUCACAAAAUGAAAUAUAUCUAUCAUAAAAAAUUUAAACAAAUUUCAAUCAAAACUAACGACAAUUUAAAAAAAAAAAAUCUUAAAUUGGCUCAAAUAAAAGAAGAAUUUAGCCGAUGCAUACGAAAUAGAGACCAAACAGGGCAUAAUUCAGGUGAUACAUUCCUAGAUUAGGAUUUUCUAAUUACAAAAUAAUAUAUUAUUAUUUUAAAAUAUUUCAGUUGUUUCCAAUAAAGUGUAAUUAGGGUUAGGUUAUAUAAAUGUGUAUUUUUUAUGAUUUGGAGAAUAAGAAGAAAUUGGCCGUGUUGUUCUAUCUUCCCUCUUGUUCUCUUCCCCCUUAUCUAUCUUUAUCUCUCUAAUAUCUCUCUCUUCAGGAGGUUCGAUUCCCUCAAAGUGAUUGUUUAUCUCCGUCGAUACGGUAGAAUCUUGUUCUAUCUCCCCUCCCGUUCUCUUCCCCCUUAUCAAUCUUUAUCUCUCUAAUAUCUUUCUCUAGGAGGUUCGAUUCUCUCAAAGUAAUCGUUUAUCCUUACCGAUACGGUAGAACCGUAUCAUCAGGCCAAAUUUCGUAAAUAAUUUUUUUGAAGGAAUAUUUUUACAAUUAUAAUAUGAUAUAAGUCUACUAAUAAUCCAUCAUAAUCAGAAUAAUCAAAUGCAUAUCAAACGUCACAAACAAACGGCAUUCUAAUCAUUUAUUACAAUCCUAAAUUAAUCAGAGAGCCAAACACAUAUCAAAAUCGCACAUGAAAAAAAAAAAAAAAAAAAAGAAAGCACAUUCUAACACGUGUGUACGGAAUAUGGUAACGAACGAGAUGUAUACCUUUGUCAGGUGAAGACAAUUGUAAUGCCUUGAAGAAUAAAUAGUUUAAUAGUUAGCAGGGGAAGGAAAUAAAAAUGUUAACUUUACAAUCGUAAGACCAGAAAUAAGGGCAACAGCAGCAGGGUGGAGAGGCGAAGAGAUCGGGCGGAAGUAGUAGGCGGAUCGGGCGGUCGGAUUACCGGAUCGGGCGUAAAACGCGGACCCAAGCCCCGCCGGGUUGCGGGUGAUGCGGAGAAUGUAGGAACCGACGCCCACUUACCGUUAUGCAUGGGUCGGGCGAACCGGAGCUCGGAUCGGGGCGAAAUGGCGAACCCAAGACCUGCAGGGUUGCGGGUAGUGCGGAGAAGUUCGGACCCGAGUCCGUUUGCCCGACAACCAGCAGAAGAGAUCAGAAAGCCCGGGAAAGGGCCCAACUAUUAUGAGAUGGCAGCCCACACGAGUUUUUCCUCAAUUUGUCACUUUUGCUGUUUAGCCCUCAUAGACUAGGUGCGUUUUCAGUUUAGUCCAAAUUACCAAGUACUAUAAAUACCAAAGUAUAACGUAAAUAGGGUAUCAAUAAAAUGAAAUAUUGAAUCUGCUUCUUCCCCAAACUCUCUUCUCCUCUAAACUCUUUUUUCCCAACUCUUAUCUCUUUUCUACCUCUCAUCCACAUCAUAUCUAAACUCUAUGUAUUACGAAAAAAAUAUAAAUAUUAAAAAAAGAAAAUACAAAAAAUAUAAGGACGGAACAUAGUGAAUGGACCAUUCACCGUAAUUGAACACGAUGAAUGGUUUACCGUGUCUAAGAAAAAUAUAUCAUUUACCGUGUUUGAAUGCGAUGAAUGAUUCAUGGUAUUCAACUUAUCAACCCUCUAGCUUUUACAAAAAUAAUUUAUAAAAUUUAAAUUUUAUAAAAAUAUAUUUGUUUUUUAUAAUCGGAACGACGAAAAAUAGAUCCAGAAAAUAAUUUAAUACAGAAAAAGAAAAGAUAAGAAAAGAGUACGCCGAUAUUUACGUGGUUCGGCCAACGGCCUACGUCCACGAAAGAAGACGGAGCAAAUACUUUAUUAAUGUCGAAAAAAGCGGAAUACAAAGAAGAUCUCUCAAAAAAUAAUCAAAGCUUAAUUAGAUCGAAACGCCGCAACAAGCAACUCCAAAAUUGGCUUCUCUCUCACCCGUACGACGUAUGGCUAAAUUAAAGUAGCCACGGAUCCUUGACCGUACGAAACGUGGAUAGAUUGGCUUAAUUAGAGUAUGGCUUAUAAUUAGCGGCAGCUCCUGACUGUACGGACCACACGAUCGACAUGGAUUUCUUAAUUAGAGCCCGGCAGCUCGGAAUAAUUAGCACAUGGCAUCUAAUUUUGGUCGCGGCAUCAUUAUAUAUAUAUAUAUAUAUAUAUAUAUUAUAAUUAGAGUCUAAUUCUAAUUAGAUUAGAAUUACAUUCCUAAUUAUAAUUUAUAAAAUAUAUAUGUCAAAUUAAAUUUAAAUUAUAUCUAAUUUUAAAUAAAUUAGAAUUUAACUCUAAAUUAGAUAACUACAAAUCUAAACCAAAUAUAAAAAUAAUUUACUAUAUUUUGGUAACCUGUAUGUAAUUAACCUAAAAAUUUUCGUCUUAUAAUAAGUGGAGGAGGCCAUCAGUAAUUGAAAUUUUCGUCUUAUAAGUGAAGGAGGAGUUGGCGUUUUCUAGACUCUUUCGUGUCUUCGGGAUGUACAAGGCGUGCUCCUUUUCUUGCUAUGACGAACUCCCACAUCACCAAAGAGAGGGGAAAAAAAAAAAAUGGAGGGAGAAAACACAUUUCUCUCUCCUUUGAUCCUUUCCCGGAAACCAAACAUCGCAUUACAGAAUCUGGCAAUGGCGGGGCAUCGCGCUGGAUGGUCUGCUCUUCUUCCGCGGGCUACCAAGCUGCAGCCAUUAAUCCAGACGCGAUGCUGCUGCAGCGACGGCGACGAGGACGACGACGGUCAUUCCUAAUGAUGAUGAUGAUGAUGACGGUGACGAUGAUGAUCUUUAAUGGGGUUUGGGCUUCAUCCGAAGAUGCAUCCUCCGAUGUCAAUGGCAUCGGAUCGUCGUCUUCUUGAUACCUCUCAUGUUUCUUGAUCCUCUCUGAAGUAACUAUCAUCAUUUUUUCUUUUUCUUUUUAUUCUACUUCUCCAUUUCUCUUCUUGAUGCCUCCUCUUCCUCCUCCUUGUUGUUGUUACUGUUACUGUGUUCGUGUUGGUGUUGGUGUUGGUGGUGGUGGUGGUGGGGGUGGGUGGAGCCUACCGUCUCCCCGCCCUAUCCUGAAAGGUUUCAGGAAAACCCACAAAACUUCGCCUUUCGGGGUAAAGAUGUAUAAAACUUUCCGCAACUAUCAUCCUUUUCGAUCUGACUACCUAACAGUUAAAAGUUUGGAUUUUACUACCCGUUCUUUCAAUUUAUUUGAUUUAAGCCGAUUAGUAAGCAACUAUGAAUUAAUUAAAGUAAGCAAUUAGUUUAAAUUUUGAAGUCCGAUUAUCGUUGACUGACUCAAAUCGAACAAAUUGGAAGGUUCGGUGGUAAAAUCAAAAUUUUGGAAGGUUGGGUGGUCGACUCAAAAUGAGGCAUUUAGGAUUUCGCAGUUGGUGCUUGGCAUGGUCAUGGUAAUCUUGGAAGGCUCUGCUCUUCUGCAGGCAACCACUUUUCCAUGCGAUGUCUUGUGGUGUAUUGCAAUACUGUGUUUCGUACCAAUUUUUCUGUGCGGGUGUUUUGGAGCGGAAAUUGGAAAUCAUGGUAGAUCCGACUGGAAACCGUUGGGUUUGCUUAGACUUGCUGAAAUCACUUCAAACCGGUGGAAAUCAAUUCAAACCACACCUGCUAAUGUUUCCAAGGAUUUACAUGUUCUUGGUUGCAAUUUCAUCCAAAUCAGUGAUUUGGAGGAUCCGAAACUGGGUGCAAAGGAGGCUGUGAUGGUUGCCAACCUGGGUGCUAAUGCUUUGUCCAAGCCAUUUCUUCUUUACCCAGUGUAUACAGCGAAAACAGCUCUUUUAAUAUCAUUUCUUCUUCGGCAAAUUGGAUGGUCUGCUAAUUUAGCAGGCAACCUUAUGCUAGCAUCCAUUGUUAUGGUGCAUGGAUUUUAUGAUGCUUUCUGAGUAAGGCCGGGGAAAUGGUUGUGAACAAACAAAUUGAGGCUUUCGGUGGGUCUCUUGCUGUGUCAUCAACCAUAAUAUUGAUUAGCGACAUAUUGCCGUUCACUCAACUUAAUUGGCUUGUGAGACUUGAUAGCAACAAUCAAGAAAGUUCGAGUCGAAAUUGCAACAAUUAUAUUUUGAGGACUAAAGUGUUACCUGCCUCAUUGUUUGAGGACCAAAAGUGUAAUUUAGCCUUAUUUUAUCUAACAAACCACUGAGCAGGUAAGAAUUUUCUUGCUAAAUUGCAUGUUUGGUCCUCAAACAAUGUGUAACACUUUGGUUCUCAAACUUUAAUCUGUUACAAUCUAGCCUGAACUUUUUGAAUUGUCGCAAUCAUGUCCUGCAAUCCAAUUUAGAUGACUAAAUAUUGAUGCAUCAUUGAUGUAAUAGUGAUGUGACAUUUUAUUUUUUGUCGCAUCAUCAAUUACCAUACUGCUACCGUCACUUUCACAUUACCGACAUAUCAAUAUUUAGUCAACUAAAUUAGAUUAUAGGACUUGAUUGCAACAAUUCGAUUCAGAAAUUACAAUAAAUUAAUGUUUGGUCCUUGUCAUGCGUCUCAAAGUUUGAGGGCAAAAUGUGCAAUUUACCCUAAUUUUCCUCAUCUCAGUGGCAGCUCUCAAUUGGAAGGUCUGCUGUUUUGCAGGCAACCUUGUUCUGUCAUUUGUCUUCAAGGUGCAUAAGAAUAAGACUAUCAUGAUGCUUGUUGAUAUGAUCAAAUGGCAUGUUGGACCCUCUCUUUCCUUUUGCUUGAAACAUUACUUCUACUUUCUUUUCAGCUUUUAAUAUUUCUCAUGUCGACUGUCCGUGUGUCCUCAUGCUGACUGUAUGCUUCAAUCAGACAGGCCCUUAAUGUUUUAUGCAAUGUUAAGUUUUUUUUUUCCCUUCAUUUUACUUGUCAAAGGAGGCUGUGAUGAUUGUCGGUUGGGAAUGCACCUCAACUUAUUUUAUCCCGGCUUUUGCUUCUCGGCGGAGUACAGAAGCUGAUAAGGAUAAUGGAUAUAAGAGGCAAUAUAGUCAACUCAAACCUAAGAUCUUGGUUGGGUUUUGACAAGUCGUGUGGGAUUUGAAUCUGGUUUGUUGGCUUGCUUUGUCCUUUUACAACCCUUGGAAGCCUUUCACUUCGUUCAUUUGUGGGAUAGACAGCAUCUCAGUGGGUGGUUUUUGGCUGACAUAAUGCACCAGGUACAGGCAAUAAUUUUUCCUUUCUGGGCAGCUCGUGAGGCCAACAAUACACCCCUCUAGCAGUACUUAAUUGGAAUGCCUUGCAGGCAAGCCUAUGCUGUCACGUCUUUAAGGUGCAUGAGAUUACAAGAUCCCUCAUGUGGUGAUUAAGCCUCCAUUUUAUUUUCCUACUUCCUUUUUAGCUAUUGAGAUUUGGUUGUUCACGUUUUUUUUUUCCCUCUCGCUUUCUUACUGCAUAUAGAAGCUAGGAUGGGUUGUUUUAAAUAUUCCUUACAACCCGUUGAAACACGACUUCAUGCUGGUUGAUGGUAAAUUUUCUAUCCUAUAUGUAUUCAGACCUGUGGCAACUUGUUAAUUUUUCGGAUUUUGAUAAGAACUAAAUAUAAGAAAGAUUUGGAUGCUAGGUAUAUAAAUAUUUGGGUUAAUUUCUUCAAUACCCUCCUUAAAGGUUGUAAUUUCAUAAAGACUCCUUCAAAUUGUAAAGGGUUUAGGGUUUAUGCAUUAUUGCAUGCAUACAUCUCUCUCCCCCCCCCUUUGUAAUCUGGUUCUUGUAAAUUUGCAUCUGAUCGACAUCAAGUUUCUAUAUUUAUUGGGUUUCUUUGCAUUUUAAAGUUAUACAAAAUUGUUGCAGGGCAUGCGAUCAAAACGGUUGCUCAAUCAAUAGCUUCACUUGAGCCCUAUUAUAUUAUUUGAUAAAGUUUUGGGAUUUAUUUGUUAAAAAGUAGAAGUUUUAGCACCUGUUUGCAAAAGUGUUAGAGUUUGGGGGGGGCUUAGAACAUUGUUUCAAUUAUUAAUGUCUACUAAAAAAAUGCAUGUUGGGCGAAAACGUUGCAUCCUUUUGGGCUAUUUAGGGAGGCAAAAUACUGUGAGCCCUCCAAGGACGGAUGUGUGGGUAUGCCUUUGAGGCGUUACGAGCUAGAGAGCCUAUGUUUGGGGAAAAACAGUAAGUACUGGGCGUGCUACCUUCUUGCUGUAAGCUCCUCUGUCUCUUCACUCCCACACUGAGAAACCAAUCACCCCCUUAGAGAAUCUGGUAUUGGCAGGGCAGCAUUGGAUGGUCUGCUGUUUGUAGGCUACUGAGCUGCAGCCAUUAUUCCAGAAUUGGUUCGUCAACGACGGCGGUGGCGAUCAUUAUGUGGCCAUCAUUUAUAAUGAUGAUGAUUAUCAUCAUCAUCUUUAAAGGGGCUUCGACUUCAUGUGAGGAUGCCUCCAUUUUCGUCGGCAUUGGAUCAUCAUCUUCUUGACAGCUCUCAUAUAUUUUGAUCCUGGCUGAAGUAACUAUCAUCGUUUUUCUUGUACUUAUCCAUUUCUUUUCUUGAUGCCAUUUUGUUGUUAUUGUUAUUAUUAUUAUUGUUGUUGUUAUUGUCAUAGUGGUGGUAUGGAGUUGACCAAGCCUUCAUAUAUAUAGGCUAGGGCUACUAUCCUAUUAAUAGGAUAGUAGCACUUGUCCUAUCAAAUUGUUCUUGAUGAUAGAGAUUCCGAAUCGAUGAUCGGAACCGUUGAAGUUGAUCUAGAGUACUUGAAAUAUCUAGAAACUAAAUUUAAUAAAUUUUAAAAAUUAUUUACAUGGUGAUCAAACUAUCAAAGUGUCGAAAAAUCGACAAUUUUUGACGGCCUAUAUGAGCCGUUUGCUUGUUUAACGGUGUAGAGCAAUCCAAAUUACUUGAAUUUUUGAUAAAAAAAUUUUUAUACUAUUUAGAUAAUGUUUGAUAACUCUGAUUAUGAAUUGAGAAAAUCUAACCUCUAUUUUAAGAAGGUUAUUCAUUUAUGACCGUUCAUUUUUUAACUCUUAAGAUGAACAUGAUAAUGAUUUUUAAAUAUUACAAAAUUUGGUUUCUAAACAUUUCUGAUUGUGUAGAUCAAUUUCAACGGUGCCGAUUAUCAAUUUGAAGUUCCGAUCAUUCAAAACGACUUGAUAGGACAAUAGCUCCAAUCCUAUUAAUAGGAUAGUAGCUGGACUCUCUCUCUCUCUCUCUCUAUAAGUUAUUAUAUAUAUAUAUAUAUAUAUAUAGAGCUAGGCUGGUAUACUAUUGGUAGCACGGAGGCCACCGUGCUACCAAGUUGUUUUCAAUGAUGUGGCUUCCAAAUCGACGAUCGGCUCCGUUAGACUUCUACACUAUUGAAAGUAUUUGGAAGCUAAAUUUCAUAAUUUUUCGGUAUCAUUUGCCUAGCAAACGAGUACUCUAAAAAUGAACGGCUGAAAAUAAAAAUCUCAUAAUAUUGGAAGGCUAUGGUGCUUUUAAAAGCACCAAGCACUUGGUCCUUGUAAGUUUCCUAUUGUUAGAUUUAUCUCUUUGACCAAUUCCAUCCCUAAGAUUAUGCUAUUCCACCAACCACCUGCUCAACUCUCGGGGACCACUAUUAUCCUAACCUACAAAUCUUCAUCCAAGACCGAAAACCUACAAGCACCAAUGACUUGGCACUUUUAAAAGCAUAGGAGCUCAAUUCUGUCUAUCUAUCUAUGUAUACAUAUAUGUAUAUAUACAGUUUGUGUGUGGGGAAUAUAAGGGGGAAAAAAACAGCAAUCAUACCACAUGAGGCAUAAAGUUUUCAGCGGUAGGUGCAUGGCAUGGUAAUAUUGGAAGGCCUUGCUUCUCUGCAGACAACUAUUUUUCCUUGAUGUCUUGCUUAGACUUGCUGAAAUUAUUGAGAACUAACUUAUUAAAGCUUUCAAUGAGUCUCUUGCCGCGUCAACAACCACUACACUGUCACAUUACUGUUGCAUUAGUGAGACAUUACCGAAAGUAAGUUGGCCUAUGAGACUUGAUUGCAACAAUCAAGAAAGUUUGAGCUAGAAAUUGCAGCUAUUAUGGUUUGAGGACCAAAAGUGUAAUUUAGCCUUAUUUUAUAUAACAAACGACUGGGCAGGCAAUAAUUUUCCAAUCUCGGCUACCUAUAACUACACUCAAUUGGAAGGUCUGCUGUUUUGCAGGCAACCUUGUUCUGUCGGUUGUCUUCAAGGUGCAUAAGACUAUAUGAUGCCUCUUGAUAUGAUCGAAUGGCCGGUCGGAGCUUCUCUGUCCUUCUACUUUAUUUUCAUCUGGUAAUAUUUCUCAUGCUGACUGUCGAUGUCCUCAUGCUGACUGUAUCCUUCAAUCAGACAGGCCCUUAAUGCUUCAUGCAAUGUUAAGGAAGCAUCUCUCCUUUAUUUUACGUUUCGAAGGAGGUUGUGAUGAUUGGCAGUUGGGAAGGCACCUCCACUUAUUUUUUCUUGGCUUUUGAUUCUUAAUGGAGUGCGGAAGCUGAUCGAAAUACUGGAUAUAAGAGGUAGUAUGGCCAACCCUAAAAACUGUACUUUUGCAAACACACAAAAAAAAAAAAAAAAAAUCCCCUUUCAUGAAUAACUGUAGAAACGGAUGGUCUGCACUUUUGCAGGCAACCUAGCAGUUACAUGCCGUAUUUUGUGGUUUGUAGUUUAAGCCAUUUCUUUACGACAUCAUUUGCCUAGCGAUCAAGCGGUUUCAAAUACAUCGUAUAUUAGACAUUAAAAUUGUUGAUUUCUGGACCACUUGACUACUUAGCAAAUGAUAUCCAAGAAUGAUGAAGUUUGAAACCUAGAAAGUUGAAAUAUCCUAGAUCAUGUUUGACGGUGUUAAUCGUCUAUCCGGAUGCCCCAUUAUCGGAAAUGACACGGAAGUAAGCUGUACUUGUAGAAGUAUUCUAGCCUCUCUUUUUCUCUCUCUCUCUCAACUUUCUAGGUUGAAAUAUAGAGCAAAAAGUCGGUGGUGGCACUAUUAUGGAUCAAUAGGUUCUAGGGUUCACUUCUUGAAGUAUCCCCCUGCUCUCGCACCCCAAAAACACACACACACACACAAAAAGAAAAAAAAAAAAAAAAAAAACUCAAAAUGUAGUUUCUCGUGGAAACUUGCUCCUGCUUGGCAUGCUAUCUUGAACGGCUAGCUCCGAUGCAGGCAACCAAUAUUUGCAUCUAUACAGGGGAUUUUAAUCCUCAGUUUGCUAUUUUGAAGCAACAAGUGUUGGAUACAGUGCACCAGAACUGAAGCAUUUGACUGAAACGUAGCUUGGCAAUCUUUGGAAGGCUUGCAAUUCUGUGAGCAACCAUUAUGCAGCUGUUUGUGUAGUUCUGUGAAGAUUCUGGUGAAAAGGGCAGAUCUGAGCCACCUCCCUUCUAAGCAUCGUCAUCGUUAAAUUAUGAAAAGCUUUCUUGUACUUUAUCCUCUGUCACAAUUAUCUAACUGCUCGAGAAAGAUGGACUGUAGACAACCGUCCGCUUGUAGACAUCUUUGACUCUAUGGUAAACAGUUGCGACAUGUUUGUUGGGUGAAUGAAAGAAAUGUUGAACAAGAGGGUUGUGUGUCGAAAGAGAGACUAAAUUUGCACUUUGGUUGUGUGCCAGAAAUGGUCUGUGCUGCUGUUUAAAGCUGCGUUCUUAUGUCUUUCCAUGUGGCAGCUGUGAUGAUUGCCUAUGGAAGCAUCAAAACCCUUGAACAUUAGACUACACUUUGAUCUGCACAGUGUGGCAACUUUUGGACGGCUUGUUUAGCAAGCAUCCAUUUUGCGUUUGUAUGUGUAGUUCGCAAAUGCUCAUAAAAAUGGGGUGAAAACAUGCAUAACUUAUCUGAACUAUGAACAUUUCAAGAAAGGCAGAUUGUAGACAACCGUCCGCAUGUUUGUUGUGUAGACAUCUUAGACUCUGUGGUUAACAAUUGCGGCAUAUUUGUUGGGUAAAUAAACGAAAUAUGUUGAUGGUCAUGUGUUGAUAGAGGCUCUAAAUUCGCACUUUUGUUCUGCACCAGAAAUGAGCUGUGCUGCUGUUGAAAGAUGCAUUGUUUCCUCUUUCUAUGCGGUGGCUGUGAUGAUUGCCAUGUAUGGAUGCACCAAAUCCCUACAACAUUUGACUAAACUUUGAUCCGCACAGCUCGGCAACCUUCGGAAGGCUUGUUCUGCAAGCAUCCAUUUUGCUUUGUAUGUGUAGGUUUGCAAAUGCUCGUAAAAAUGGCAGAUCUGAGCCCCAGCAUCUAAAUCUCUCCUUUUCGUUGUUUAGAACUAACAAUUUUUUACCCCUAGCUUGCUCUUGUUUAAAGAAUUUCUGUUUGCUAAAUUGCCUCUUGCAACAAGGUGGUUAGUUGAUAAGAAGAAAAAUGUUCCUUUAUGUCAAUGUAUGUUUGAAGUUUAGUGUUGAUAAUUACACCACAGUUGGAGGGGGUUUGGCAUAUCUUUGUAUUUAAAUAUGGCCAGCAGGAAGUGUAGUUUUUAACAGAGUAUUAGACCUACCUGGCAGGAACCUUGGAUGGCCUGCUUAUAUGCUGGCAACCAAUUUUUGCUGCUGUAAGCUGGAGUUUGUACCCAGGUUCGUAUUAUUAGUGUUGAGCAUCACGAUGUAACUUUUUGUAGUUCUACAGAGCCGAAGAAUUGCUCUUUUGUAUCCUUCUUCCUUAGUGGGUAAUCAAAAUUUCCACAAAAUUUGAACUUCAAAUCUCACUUCUUUCAAGUUUAUCCCCAAACUGGUUUUCUAUAAAAAUAAACUGAACAUGGGACUUCGGCAAUGCUGGGGGAUCUCAUAGGGGUGACACGGUCGAAUACAGUUGGAUUUUUGACGAAACCAUAUCUGUAUCCAUUUCGUAGGCUAAUUCGGAUAUGAUGAUGUCGGAUUCGAUCGGAUUUUAUCCUAACCAUUUUCACCCCUAUUUGUUGUACAUUUAUUCAGAGGCAAAAUACUCUGAGCCCUUCAAUGAGGGAUGGGCGGACGGAUGGAUGGACGGGUACAUCGCUAAGGUGAUGUGAAAGAGAGAACCCUGCGUUGGGGACAAGCAGAAAUGCAGGGAUGCUCCGCUCCCUUCUUCCUGUAAGCCCCUCUGUCUCCUACUCUCUUCCGCCCCAAAAGAAGGGAAAGAAAAAAAGAAAGAAAAAAGAAAGUCAUUUGUCUCGUUUUCUUUCUCUUCCUUUCCUUAAGAAAAGUGUUUUUAGGUUAGACAGGGAAUGUGGUAAUGGCAGGGCAGUUCUGGACGGUUUGCUCUUCUGCAGGCUACUGAGCUGCAGCCAUUACUCCGGAAAUGCAUUGGUGGGAGUGACGACGGUCAUUCAUAAUGAUGAUGAUGAUGAUGAGGAUGAUGAGGAUGAUAACCUUUGUAGGGGCUUCAUCUUCCUCUUGAUACCUCACCUAUCUUCUUGAUACCUCACCUAUUUCUUGAUCCUCGUUAAAGCAGCUAUCAUUUCCUCCUACUUCCCUUCUUAAUGCCCUAUUGUUGUUGUUGUUGUUGUUGUUGUUGUUGUUGUCAUUAUUAUUAUUAUUAUUAUUGUGGUGGUGGUGGUGGUGGGGGUUGGAUGGAGUCUACCAUCUCCCUGCCCCUUCGUAAAAGGGGAAGCUUUCGUUUCUUGGGGUUGACCGAGCCCACACAUAUAUAUGUGUGCGCGCGCGCGUGCGCUUUUAGAAGCAUAUACUUUGAACUUUGGACCCUUGGAUCCCUAGGGUUUACUAGUUAGUGAUGGUUAUAGUACGGAUCCAAGGGCUCAAAAGUUUAAGUUGUAACUUCUCAAAGCAGCAUAAGCUCUAUUCUAUAUAUAUAUAUAUGCACACACACUGUUGGUGUUUGAGGGUUUGAAAAAAAAAAAAAAAACCAGCAGGAACAAUUCUAGAUGAGGGCUAAAGUUUCAGCAGAAGGUGGAUGGCAUGGUUAUCUUGGAAGGCUCUGCUGUUCUGCAGGCAACCAUUAUUCUAUGUACGAGAAGAGAUAUCUAUUCCUUUUUCUCAUGCAAUACUCUGUUUGGUGCCAAAUCAUUAUAGAAUUGAAUAUAUUUGCAAUUCCAUGAGGGCAUUUGUGUUGCGGAAAAUGCAGACUAUGGCAAAUCUGACCACAAACCAGAGAAUUUGCUUUAUCGGAAAUAAAUUUGAAGUACACCUGCUAAUGUCUCCAAGGAUGAACCAGUUCUUCUUGGCAAUUUCAUCCAAACCAGUGAUUUGGAGGAUUCCAAACAGGGAAUGAAUGAGGCUUCGAUGAUUGCCAAUCUGGUUGCCCACAGUUUGCCCUUGCCGUUACUUCUUUACCAUUGUACAGUGUAAACGGCUCUUUUAAUAUCAGUUCUUCAGUAAAUUGGAUGGUCUGCUAAUUUAGCAGGCAACCUUUGAAGCUUUUGAUGGGUCUCUUGCCAUGUUAUCAAUCACAGUACUUCUACAAAUCGGAAGUCACAACAAAUUAAAGUUUCAGGACCAAAGUGUCACCCGCCUUAUUGUUUGAGGACCAAAUGUGUAAUUUAGCCUUAUUUUAACUUACAAAGCACCCAGAACAAAAAGAAAGCACCGGAUUUUUUUCUUUUUUUCUAGAGAAGCUUUCAAUGGCUUGCGAUGCACCUGGUGUAGGCAAUAAUUUUCCUAUCUCAGCUGCUCAUUAGGGCAACUUUGCGGGAUACCUGUAGCAGAACUCAAUUGGAAGGUCUGCUGUUGCAGGCAACCUUGUUCUAUCAUAUGUCUGUAAGGUGCGCAUGGCAACAUAAUGCUGAUCGAAUGGCAGGUCGGAGCCUCUUUCCUUCUUCUCUCUUUUCAACUCUCAGUAUUUCUCAUGCUGACUGUACGAAUGUCCUCAUGUUGACUGUAUGUUUCAAUCAGAUGCGCCCUUAAUGUUUCAUGCUAUGUCAAAGAAGUGUUUCUCCUUCAUUUUAGUUGUCAAUGGAGGCUGUGAUGAUUGCCAGCUGGGAAUGCUCCUCAACUUCUUUUAUCCUUGCUUUUGACUCUUGGCGGAGUAAAGAAGCUGAUCGAAAUACUGGAUAUCAGAGGGAAUACAGUCAGCUCAAACCAAACAUGUUUGUUGGGUUUUGACAAUUCUGGUGGGAUUUGAAUCUGUUUUGUUGGUUUUCUUGGUCCUUUUACGCUCCUUGACAGCCCUUUGCUUCGUUCAUUUGGGUGGUCUUGGCUGACAUGAUUCACCAGGUGCAGACAAUAAUCUUUCCUUUCUAAGCAGCUAUAAGGCCAACAUUAGCUACCUGUAGUAGUACUUAAAUUGGAAGGUCUGCGGUCUUGCAGGCAACAUUAUGCUGCUAUGUCUUCAAGGUGCAUAAGAUUGCGGGACCCCUCAUAAGAUAUGAUUAAAUGGCAUAUCUGAGCCUCCAUUUUCUUUUACUACUACAUUUUUUGCUAUUUAGUGGUACAUUGUUUUUCUUUUCUUUUCUUUUCUUUUUUUCUCUGGCUUUCUUGCUGCAUGUAGAAUCUAGGAUGGGUUGUUCCAUAUUUUCCUUAUCAACUUCCUGGAACUCUGCUUUAUGCUGGUUGAUGACAACUGGAUAGUUGUUCGGGGGUCUAUUUCAAAAUGGCCUAUAGUUGUGGGCAAGGAUUUAAGUGCCGUGGCAUGGGGUCGUGCCGGAAACUUGUCGGCAUGGUACAGCACGGUGCAUGCCGAGCCGUGCCGAUGCGUGCCGGUCAAAAAAAUUCUUGUGUGCCAACACAUAAUAGCAUGAAAUAUUUAUUUUCUUUAGCAACAAAAUAUUCUAAUUAUUUAUUAUGUUUUUUAUCACAUCUUUUGAACUCUAUUGAGGAAAUUACUUACUAAUUUAAAGAAUAGAGGUUUUUGAGCUGUGCCAUCGGCAUGGGGUCUGUAUCGUGCCGAUAUCUUGUUGGCACGGUGGAUACGGCCCGUGCUAACGGGCACUUAAAACCUUGGUUGUGGGGAUCUUCAUACUAUUUGCCCUUCUCAAUAUAUUUGAGGGUUAUCCCAAUAUUGUGAUUUAGUCCUUGAACCUUUUCCGUGAGCACUUGUCCCUUAUCUUUCAAAUAUUCUUGCAAUUCGUCCCCGGCCAUCACUUUGGUCCAUAUACUGCAGGCAAGAUCUCUGAUUAGCACUUUACAGUGUAACUUAAUCACUAGAGGAUUGGCGCGUGAUUCGUAAUUGGGGGCAAGAAGAAGUACAGGGCAUGCUCCCUCCUUUGUAUAAGCCCCUCUGUCUACUUUCUCUUGCACCACAAAAAGCAAAAGAAAAAAAGAAAACAUUUUAAUGUUGAUAAGGGAUGGUGAUAAUACUUUAGGCUUCGGCUUCAUUUGAGGAUGCCUCCUAUGUUGAUAGUGUUGGAUCGCCAUCUUCUUGAUUCCUCUCAUAUUUCUAGAUUCUAGCUGAAGCAACUAUUAUCUUUUUUUUUUAAUUACAUCUCCAUUUCUCUUCUUGAUGCCUUAAUUUUUUCUUCUUCUUCUUCUUGUUGUUAAUUGCUGCUGUUAUUGUUAAUUUUACUAUAGUGGUGGUGGUGGUGGUGGGUGGAGACUAUCGUCUCCCCACCUCCUCCUGAAAGGGAAAACCCAAAAACCUUAGCUUUUCAGGUUUGACCAAGCCUUCAUUUUUGGUUUUGGCUGUAUAUAUAGAGAGAGAGAGUUUGCGAUUAACUUUUUAACCCUUGGAUUUCAGCAGUAGGCGCAUGGCAUGGAAUUCUUGGAAGGCACUACUCUUCUACAGGCAACCAUUUUUCCAUGUGAGGUCUUGGAUGUACAAGAAGAUAUAUCUACUCCUUUUCUAAUGUAAUACUCUGUUUGGCACCAAAUUGUUAUAUAAGUGAGUAUAUUUGCAAUCCUGUGAGGGCAUUUUUGGAGCAAAAAUGCAAAUUAUGGUAGAUCCGACCACAAACCAGUGGAUCUGCCUAGAAUUGCUGCAAUCAUUUGAAACCAUCGGAAAUCAAUUCAAUCCACACCUGCAAAUGUUUCCAGGGAUUAAUGAGUUCCUGUUUGCAAUUUCGUUCAAAUCAGUGAUUCAAAGGAUUCUAAACAGGGUGUAAAGGUGGCGGUGAUGGUUGCCAACCUGGGUGCCAACGGUUUGUCCAAGCCGUUUCUUCUUUGCCGAGUGUACAACGUAAACAGCUCUUUUAGUAUCAGUUCUCCUUUGGUAAAUUGGAAGGUCUGCUAAUUUAGCAGGCAACCUUUACCACCAUAUAUUAUAAUGGUGCAAGAAUUAUAUGAUGCCUUUUUAAUAAAGUGGGGGAAAUGGUUGAGAACAAACUAAUUGAGGCUUUAGGUGGGUCUCUUGUGAUGUCAUCAACAGCAAUACUGCCACAUUACUGCUACAUAUGUGAGACAUCACCAUCCGCUCAACUAAAUUGGCCUGUGAGAUUUGAUUGCAGCGGUUAAGAAAGUUCGAGACAGAAAUUGUAGCAACUAUAGUUUGAGGG
rnacentral:lncRNA from 1 species